AUGAAAGGGGAAGAAAUGUGAAUGAUUACGGAGUGUGUGAGAAAAGCCCCUCUGUGGAAGUGGAUCCUUUGAGUCAGUUUACUUCCUCUCACACGGAAAAUCAUCUUUAGUGUUGAAAGUGCAGAGUUUUAUUCAGCUGCAGGUUUUCUGUGAACAUCGACACUAUGGGGCCAAAAAAGGGUCAAAAUUAUUGCAUUUUUCUAAAAAACUAUUUAAAACUGAAUGUCAGGUUUUAACUCAAAAUCUGAACAUCAACAAUGAGUUCAAGGAAAUGAGUCUCGUGUCUCUUUCCGGGAUUUUAAUGACAGUUUGCUGUGAAGCUGCUGUUCGCCACCACAGACGGGCAUCUGUGCAUGUUUGGGAGCCAAUUUCUGCACCUGCAGUUUAUGUCUCAACAGAGCUGAUGGAGAGAAAAUGUUCCAGCAGACCUUCCUAACAACAUCAACAAAAGCAUUUAAGAGCUGCUCAAGGUGAAUUUCUCUAAAAUUAGAGAUAAAAACGCUUCUUCUCUCCAGCUGCAGAGGGCGCCGUGGCUCUGCUGUUCAGCUCCACCAUUCCUACAAACGUAAUGAUUUUAAAUGAUUCACUGCGGCCCAAAUUAUGCUCCGUGUUCAUGUCACAGAAAUGAAUGUUGGUACUGAGACGACUGUGUUCCCAGGACAAUAAAAACAACAUUUUCCCCCUUCAGCGUUUCUGCACAUCCCUGCACUUCCACAGUUCCACAGAUCCUCUGCAUAAAGCGUCUCAUGUUCUGCAGUUGGAUCCACUUAACUGCAUUUCUGAUCAUUAAAUCAUCACGUUUGCUAAUCAGCUCAUCAAACUGGAGGAAAAAAGUUUCAUCUGAAAGCAAAAGCUCAAGAAAAGAUGUGACUUUUCUUCAGUGGAAAGUUGUGUAAAAACCUCCAAAAUGACACAGCAGUUUGUUCCUGUGGGCAGGAAGCCUCUCCAGUAGCAGUCAGUGUUGCAGGGAUUCUGAAGACGCCUCUGACUGAAGUUGUUGCUGUAUGAGAGUCACGAUAUGCUAACAGCUGCAUUUCCAAACUCAAUAUUCCACAGUAUAAUAUAAUUAGCAUAAUAUGCUAAUCCAACUCCUAUGCUUCACCAAACACCCUGUUGCCAUGGUUACGAUCAAUCAUUACAGCUAAUGAAGACGGGGGUUACGGACAAAUAAUAUGGCCAAAUGCAUUUAAAUGGUUGUUUUGUGCUUAAUGAUUUAACUGUAAAAUUUUAAGUAUCUUUUGUUUUACUUUGAAAUCUGGGCUUUUAUUGUGAAAUCUGGGCUUUUUAGAACAUUAGUUGGAGAAUCUUCAACACAAUGAGAAAUGUCUGAAUAAAAAUAAUAAACCACAGACACUGACAAUAUUGACAUUAAUGUAUUGCAAUAUACAAUGUAAAUGAAUAAUUUUAUACAUAAACUGGUAAAAAAUAAAACUAAAUUUACCUUUUGUUGUA